rnacentral:rRNA from 1 species
UACAGAGGCCUCGAGCGUUAGGCGGAAUCACUGGGCUUAAAGCGUGUGUAGGCGGACCCCUAAGUGCCUUGUGAAAUCCCAACGGCUCACCCGUGGAACUGUUGGGCAUACUGGCGAUCUUGGGCCAACUAGGGGCAACUGGAACAAGCGGUGGAGCGGUGAAAUGCGUAGAUAUCGCUUGGAACGCCAAAGGUGAAACAGGUGCUGGGUUGUGCCGACGCUGAGACA